GUCGUCAGUUGCUAGCGGUACGAGUAACAUCGUGAGUGAGAGAGGUUUUGUGAAGAAAAGUUUUUUUAGACUAAAUUUCAAUGUUUGCCAAAGCUAAACAUACACUCUUCAUUUGCAUAGGGAAGUUGGUUAAGUUCGACUUGGAAAAUUAAUUAGUUUUUUUUUAUUUGAAAAAAAAUAUAAUUAUGAAAAAACAAAAGUUAUUCUAGUGAAUCGGGUCAUCGGCAGACAGUUCUUCAAACAAAAUGGUCCUUCCGGACAGGAAGUUGAAACGUUUCGGAGGAAAAGAAGUCGUGAAACAGUCGCUUGCUUUGCCCUUCCUAACCUAACUGUUGCUUCUUUCUGUGUUUGAGAGUUUCAAUCUGCUCUAGCCAUCCCGUGAAAGAGCAGUGCUUAUUUCCGGACAAACGCGCGCGUGAAAUAUCCUGGCACUUUAACGAAGUCGUUCUUUUUUUUUUGGUUCGGUUCUGUCGCGCGCGCCGCACCCAGCUUUUUGAUCUUGGCUGGCAAACACACAGCAACGAAAUCGAAAAAAAACUCACAGUGCAAGGAAAAGCCCGAACCCUGUCAGACGCACCACCACCACCCCGCAGGAGAAGCGGGAAGAAUCCGGAAGAGAGCGGUGGAAAUGUUGGAAAAAUCUGGUGGAAAAUAUGAACUUUCCACUUCACUGCUCAACGACUUGUAAACACACUCACAAGGUAUUACAUUUCGGAGUAAUCUUUGAUGUCAUCUCAUGUUUUCAUUGCGCAAAGCAAAGGAAAUCGAACUGCGGCGUGUAAG